CAGGGGAGAGGCCAUCACUUGAAGAUGCUGAGUCUUCUGCUCCUUCUCCUGGGACUAGGCUCUGUGUUCAGUGCUGUCAUCUCUCAAAAGCCAAGCAGGGAUAUCUGUCAACGUGGAACUUCCCUGACGAUCCAGUGUCAAGUCGAUAGCCAAGUCACCAUGAUGUUCUGGUACCGUCAGCAACCUGGACAGAGCCUGACACUGAUUGCAACUGCAAAUCAGGGCUCUGAGGCCACAUAUGAGAGUGGAUUUAUCAUUGACAAGUUUCCCAUCAGCCGCCCAAACCUAACAUUCUCAACUCUGACUGUGAGCAACAUGAGCCCUGAAGACAGCAGCAUAUAUCUCUGCAGCCCUCUGCAGCUGUGCUCCUAUAAUUCGCCCCUCCACUUUGGGAACGGUACCAGGCUCACUGUGACAGAGGACCUGAACAAGGUGUUCCCACCCGAGGUCGCUGUGUUUGAGCCAUCAGAAGCAGAGAUCUCCCACACCCAAAAGGCCACACUGGUGUGCCUGGCCACAGGCUUCUUCCCCGACCACGUGGAGCUGAGCUGGUGGGUGAACGGGAAGGAGGUGCACAGUGGGGUCAGCACGGACCCGCAGCCCCUCAAGGAGCAGCCCGCCCUCAAUGACUCCAGAUACUGCCUGAGCAGCCGCCUGAGGGUCUCAGCCACCUUCUGGCAGAACCCCCGCAACCACUUCCGCUGUCAAGUCCAGUUCUACGGGCUCUCGGAGAAUGACGAGUGGACCCAGGAUAGGGCCAAACCCGUCACCCAGAUCGUCAGCGCCGAGGUCUGGGGUAGAGCAGACUGUGGCUUUACCUCGGUGUCCUACCAGCAAGGGGUCCUGUCUGCCACCAUCCUCUAUGAGAUCCUGCUAGGGAAGGCCACCCUGUAUGCUGUGCUGGUCAGCGCGCUUGUGUUGAUGGCCAUGGUCAAGAGAAAGGAUUUCUGAAGGCAGCCCUGGAAGUGGAGUUAGGAGCUUCUAACUCGUCGUGGUUUCAAUACACAUUCUUCUUUUGCCAGCGCUUCUGAAGAGCUGCUCUCACCUCUCUGCAUCCCGAUAGAUAUCCCCCUAUGUGCAUGCACACCUGCACACUCACGGCUGAAAUCUCCCUAACCCAGGGGGACCUUAGCAUGCCUAAGCGACUAAACCAAUAAAAAUGUUCUGG